rnacentral:rRNA from 1 species
CUAUUGCACAAUGGGGGAAACCCUGAUGCAGCGACGCCGCGCGAGCGACGAAGUAUCUCGGUAUGUAAAGCUCUAUCAGCAGGGAAGAAGAUGACGGUACCUGACUAAGAAGCUCCGGCUCACUACGUGCCAGCAGCCACGGUAAUACGGAUGGAGCAAGCGUUAUCCGGAUUUACUGGGUGUAAAGGGCGCGUAGGCGGCCUGGCAAGUCUGGUGUGAAAUACCGGGGCCCAACCCCGGGACUGCAUUGGAAACUGCCAGGCUGGAGUGUCGGAGGGGCAGGCGGAAUUCCUAGUGUAGCGGUGAAAUGCGUAGAUAUUAGGAGGAACACCGGUGGCGAAGGCGGCCUGCUGGACGACAACUGACGCUGAGGCUCGAAAGCGUGGGGAGCAAACAGG